GAUGAGCGCUGGCGGCGUGCCUAAUACAUGCAAGUCGAGCGAACGGACGAGAAGCUUGCUUUUCUGAUGUUAGCGGCGGACGGGUGAGUAACACGUGGAUAACCUACCUAUAAGACUGGGAUAACUUCGGGAAACCGGAGCUAAUACCGGAUAAUAUUUUGAACCGCAUGGUUCAAAAGUGAAAGACGGUCUUGCUGUCACUUAUAGAUGGAUCCGCGCUGCAUUAGCUAGUUGGUAAGGUAACGGCUUACCAAGGCAACGAUGCAUAGCCGACCUGAGAGGGUGAUCGGCCACACUGGAACUGAGACACGGUCCAGACUCCUACGGGAGGCAGCAGUAGGGAAUCUUCCGCAAUGGGCGAAAGCCUGACGGAGCAACGCCGCGUGAGUGAUGAAGGUCUUCGGAUCGUAAAACUCUGUUAUUAGGGAAGAACACAUGUGUAAGUAACUGUGCACAUCUUGACGGUACCUAAUCAGAAAGCCACGGCUAACUACGUG
rnacentral:rRNA from 1 species